UGACCUCAAUCAGGUAGGACUACCCGCUGAACUUAG
rnacentral:rRNA from 1 species